UCAGUCAGCGCAGCGUAAUAAUAGAAACUAACCAGGAUUCCCUUAGUAACGGCGAGUGAACUGGGAUGCCAAUAUAUAAUAUGUACCUCGCGUGCAUAAAUUAGCCCGUCGAUACUAUCCUAGCGUAUGUCACCGGUCUUCGGGUCGGUACUCAAAUACGCGGGAAUUGUAGCAUCGUAAUAAUUAAAAAUAUACAGCACACACACACACACACACAUAAGAACCCACGCCAACCUGCGUACACCACUUGUAAACACACAGCGUCUCCGCGUUGGAAAGCAAGUAUAUAUCCUCUUUGGAUAUGCCAUAGAGUGUGACAGCCACGUUUCACCCAUAUGAUAGUUACGCACACACACACACAUAUAUAUCAAUGGCGCGGCGUGCGAGUGCACAACGUAUAUAUACUAUAACCUGAGUCGAGUUAUUUGGGACUAUAGCUCUAAUAGUUUGGUUGGUGGUAAUGACACAUCAAAGGCUAAAUAUUGGUUAGUCGAUGCAUAUUGCGGAGACCGAUAGCAUACAAGUACCGUAAGGGAACGAUGAAAAGCACCCUAUUGAGUUCACGGCGCAGACUCGACAUUCGUGUCUUGCCCAGCGCCCAACAACUACAGUGGGAGUGAAAGAGAGAGU
rnacentral:rRNA from 1 species